rnacentral:rRNA from 1 species
CACGUAGGGUGCGAGCGUUGUCCGGAAUUAUUGGGCGUAAAGAGCUCGUAGGCGGUGUGUCGCGUCGGCCGUGAAAACCUGCAGCUUAACUGUGGGCUUGCGGUCGAUACGGACAUCACUGGAGUUCGGCAGGGGAGACUGGAAUUCCUGGUGUAGCGGUGAAAUGCGCAGAUAUCAGGAGGAACACCGGUGGCGAAGGCGGGUCUCUGGGCCGAUACUGACGCUGAGGAGCGAAGGCGUGGGGAGCGAACAGG